rnacentral:rRNA from 1 species
CUAUGGCUUCGUCAGCUAUGGCCCGUCAGCUAUGGCUGUCGUCAGCUCGUGUUGUGAAAUGUCCGGUUAAGUCCGGCAACGAGCGAGACCCCUGCCCAUAGUUGCUACUCCCCCUUCCGAGGGGGAGGCACACUAUGGGGACUGCCGGCGUUUAAGCCGGAGGAAGGAGGGGGCCACGGCAGGUCAGCAUGCCCCGAAACCUCCGGGCUGCACGCGGGUUACAAUGGAAGGGACAGCGGGAUCCGACCCCGAAAGGGGAAGGCAAUCCCACAAACCCUGCCUCAGUUGGGAUCGAGGGCUGAAACCCGCCCUCGUGAACGAGGAAUCCCUAGUAACCGCGGGUCAACAACCCGCGGUGAAUACGUCCCUGCUCCAU